CUCUUUUUUUUUUUUUUUGGAAAUCCCACUUUGAAAGGUUGAUUCAGGGCCAACUUGAAUUCUUAAAUAACUGGGGUAACCCAUAGCCCCACUUUGAGUAAGAUCAAUCUCCAAAAAUUGUCCGAGAAAAUUUUCAAUGAUCUCUGCAUUUGUUGGGUUAAAUUGAUUGGGUGGGAGUCCAUGUGCCUGAACCCAAAAUGGUGAGUGCGUGAACUGGAUUUCUUCAAAGGCUAAAUCUGGUGGCCAAGAUUUGAAGGGAUAGGUGUUGAUUGUGCACUGACCAUGGUGUGUUUUCUAGAACAUAUUUGACAUCAACGUCAUGCUCGAAUUGAAAAACAAAGUGUUGGCUCUUUUUGUCGUGACUUGGAAGUCCCUUCUAAUUCUCUAGGAUUUGGAUAGGAUGGAUUUCAUGGUAAGGGCACUGAAUGUUCUUGAAGAAAUAAGCUUGCCUACGAUCACAUUUUGGUGUAGCCCCUAGUGAGAUGCAUUAGUUGUGAGUUGCAUGAUCUCAUUCUCACUGAGUAAAUUCUGAGUUUUGUCUAUUAGUUCAGCCAUGUUUGGUGGUUGGUUGGCCAUAAUGGAGGGUUAUAUGAGGGUAUUAAAGAUGCUAGAUGGUAUGGUUAGAAUGAAAAAGGAAGCUGCCCAAGAAAAUAACGACAUUACUUGAAGAGAGAAGUGCAGAUGCAAGGUGAUGGAAUGAGGCAGAUCAGUUCGGAGAGACAGAUCAACACAACACUGAUCAGUAUGAACUCUGCGUCAACAAAACGCAAGUGAAGGGCUAAACCCUAGAUUUUCCCUCUCUUACUCUUUAUGAUUAAAAGGAGAAAAUGUUGAAUAUAUAUGUAUCCAAAGAUCUGCUCCAUAAUAGACUAAAAGAGAAUUAAGACAAAAUUUAUGAAACUAUUGAGGUGUAAAAAAAAUAAUAAUAAUCCAAUUCAGUACUGCCAUUCAGCAUGCCCGGUACUGAAUUCAUUAUUUAUUGGGAUGCGCCAUGUUGAAU
rnacentral:misc_RNA from 1 species